rnacentral:rRNA from 1 species
CCAGACUCCUACGGGAGGCAGCAGUGGGGAAUACUGCACAAUGGGGGAAACCCUGAUGCAGCGACGCCGCGUGAGUGAAGAAGUAUUUCGGUAUGUAAAGCUCUAUCAGCAGGGAAGAAAAUGACGGUACCUGACUAAGAAGCCCCGGCUAACUACGUGCCAGCAGCCGCGGUAAUACGUAGGGGGCAAGCGUUAUCCGGAUUUACUGGGUGUAAAGGGAGCGUAGACGGCAUGGCAAGUCAGAUGUGAAAGCCCGGGGCUCAACCCCGGGACUGCAUUUGAAACUGUCAGGCUGGAGUGCAGGAGAGGUAAGUGGAAUUCCUAGUGUAGCGGUGAAAUGCGUAGAUAUUAGGAGGAACACCAGUGGCGAAGGCGGCUUGCUGGACGAUGACUGACGUUGAGGCUCGAAAGCGUGGGGAGCAAACAGGAUUAGAUACCCCAGUAA